GGAUGAACGCUGGCGGCGUGCCUAAUCCAUGCAAGUCGAGCGAACGGACGAGAAGCUUGCUUCUCUGAUGUUAGCGGCGGACGGGUGAGUAACACGUGGAUAACCUACCUAUAAGACUGGGAUAACUUCGGGAAACCGGAGCUAAUACCGGAUAAUAUUUUGAACCGCAUGGUUCAAAAGUGAAAGACGGUCUUGCUGUCACUUAUAGAUGGAUCCGCGCUGCAUUAGCUAGUUGGUAAGGUAACGGCUUACCAAGGCAACGAUGCAUAGCCGACCUGAGAGGGUGAUCGGCCACACUGGAACUGAGACACGGUCCAGACUCCUACGGGAGGCAGCAGUAGGGAAUCUUCCGCAAUGGGCGAAAGCCUGACGGAGCAACGCCGCGUGAGUGAUGAAGGUCUUCGGAUCGUAAAACUCUGUUAUUAGGGAAGAACAUAUGUGUAAGUAACUGUGCACAUCUUGACGGUACCUAAUCAGAAAGCCACGGCUAACUACGUG
rnacentral:rRNA from 1 species